GCAGCCAUGGCGCGGCUAGGAGGGGGCUGCCGACCCGCUUCACCUGCCGCAGAGGGGGCGGCCGGCGCCGCUUCACCUGCCGGAGCGGGAGCGACAGAGGCGAGGCAGAGGCGGCGGCGCGCUCCGCGGCGCCUCCGGGUCCUAGAACCGUAGGCUCCCGCUCACUCGGAGCCGGGGGACUGGAAGGGUCUGGGCGAAGGGGGUCACGGCCUGGGGGACGCAGCGGGCAGUCCUCGGAGUCCAGGACUGCCAGCACCUGCUGAGCGCGGCUUGAAGACCCCUGACGGGACCUAAGGUGGCCUCUUGCUCACCUUGGAGAAUAACAAUCUCUGAUGUCUGGCAAUAACAGAAAUGCUUCCAGAGGUCUUCUUUCGUCCAUCCUGACAAUGACCAGGGAAGGUCACCAGCACCUCUGGUGGGCGAGAGAUGUGAUCACUUAUUCCGUGUCCCAACCAGGGACCCGUAAGGUAAGACACAGCAAGAUACUCCUUGGAUGUGCUAAGAAAGUGAUCUUCCAUGCCCACUGCCCGCACCUUCAGCCCAGAGCAGAGUUCUUGGGUCCUUGCCCUUGAGUUCUUGCCCUUGAGACUAGCUCAGAUCUCUCCUUUGCUUUCUUUCUUUUUGUUUUUGAAGGAAUUUAGUCCCUGAUCUCCUCACCGGUUAUCACUUUCCAUUUAACAACAAGCCUUUAUUUAACACCAACUGUGUGCCCCGCACUGUGUUCACUCCUGGAGACUGUCCUUGGGCUGCUCACAGCCUGGCAAGGAACAGACUCUAAACACAUCUGGGAGAGUGGCUGCCACCAGUCAGCCUAUGGUGCCAGGUGUUCAUGCUUCCUCUUGCUCAGAACUACUUCUUUGAGCUGGAGUUCCUGUUGUGGCUCAGUGGGUUAAGAACCUGACCAGUAUCCAUGAGGUUGCGGGUUUGAUCCCUGGCCUCGUUCAGUGGGUUAAGGAGCCGGUGUUGCUGUGGCUGUGGUGUAGGAUGGCAGCUGCAGCUCUGAUUCAACUCCCUACCCUGGAAACAUCCAGAUGCCUCAGGUAUGGCCCUAAAAAAUAAUAAUAACUCUUUGAGUGGGUAGGACAAGGGUAGGAUUUGUGCCCCGCAGCUGGAAAUCCAAGUGGGUUGGGGGAGCCUCUAAUGUAGUAGUUACCAGCCUGCACCCUCAACCCCUGGGAGUGCUCAGGCCAUUGCCAGCCACUGCCCCCUCAAGGCCUCAUAGCAGUAAGCCUGGGCUAAGUAGGACUUCUUGUGUGGAAAAUGAUCAGCCCAGCAAGCCUACAUUAUCCCUCUCUCAUGCUCAUCAGAGCAGUGAGGUACAAAAAAGAGGGGAAGGGGAGAAAUUUUAAUCAAUCAUUACCUAAUAGAUGUGGUUGACUUGGGUAAGAAGUGUCUUUCCAAUCAUGAUGCACAGAGGAGGAAAUCCUAGAAGGGAUGCUUGGUGAAGUUUGGGAUCAAUGCUUUGGUAGGUAUGUGCUUCCCCCUGCUGGUUACAUGAGGUAUGACAGCCAAAACAUGGCAAGGCCUCCAAUGGUGAUGAAGAUGGAGUCACAGCGUGGGUGACAUUUCUGAAUUGUUGUUGCCUUGUCACCUCCAGUGGAAUGAUUGUGCGGUUAUUGAGCACACUCAGAGCUCAGGUGACUGACCAGUUUUCCCUAGGAAUUUCUUCCCCCCUCCCUACUCACCAUUACUCAGUUGGUACCUCACUUUUUUGUUUGGUUGUUUGGGGCAGGGGGCAGGUGUUGUCUGUGGCAUGCAGCGGCUUGAUGUGGUAUCUCAGUUCUUAGACCAGGGAUUGAACCCAGGCUACAGCAAUGAAAAUGCCAAGCCCUAACCACUAGGCCACCAAGGAACUCCCACCUCAUUUUUUUUUUUAAGGUAAUACAUUAAAUUUUUUUUAAGGUAAUAUACAUUUUAAAAGAAAAACAGUUUUGGAGUUCCCAUCAUGGCUCAGUGGUAAUGAACCCAACUAGGAUCCAUGAGGAUGCAGGUUUGAUCCUUGGCCUCGCUCAGUGGGUUAAGGAUCUGGCGUUGCCGUGAGCUGUGGUGUAGAUUGCAGAAAUGGCUCAGAUCCCACGUGGCUGUGGUAUAGGCCAGCAGCUGUAGCUCCAAUUCCACCCCUAGCCUGGGAACCUCCAUAUGCUGCGGGUGCAGCCCUAAAAAGACAAAAAAUAAAAAUUUAAAAUAAAAGAAAAACA
ensembl:lncRNA